rnacentral:rRNA from 1 species
CCUACGGGCGGCAGCAGUGGGGAAUAUUGCACAAUGGAGGGAACUCUGAUGCAGCGACGCCGCGUGAGUGAAGAAGUAUUUCGUUAUGUAAAGUUCUAUCAGCAGGGAAGAAAGUGACGGUAUCUGAAAAAGAAGCUCCGGCUAAAUCCGUGCCAGCAGCCGCGGUAAUACGUAUGGAGCAAGCGUUAACCGGAUUUACUGGGUGUAAAGGGAGAGUAGGUGGCAGAGCAAGUCCGAAGUGAAAUCCCAAAGCUCAACCAUGGAAAUGCAUUCGAAACUGGUAAGCUAGAGUGAAGGAGAGGGAGGUGGAAUUCUUGGUGUAGCGGUGAAAUGCGUAGAUAUUAGGAGGAACACCAGUGGCGAAGGCGGCUUGCUGGACUAUAACUGACGCUGAGGCGCGAAAGCGUGGGGAGCAAACAGGAUUAGAUACCCCAGUAGUC